rnacentral:rRNA from 1 species
UACGGAGGGUGCAAGCGUUAUCCGGAUUCACUGGGUUUAAAGGGUGCGUAGGUGGGAAUGUAAGUCAGUGGUGAAAUCUCCGUGCUUAACAUGGAAACUGCCAUUGAUACUAUGUUUUCUUGAAUUUUUCUGGAGGUCAGCGGAAUAUGUCAUGUAGCGGUGAAAUGCUUAGAUAUGACAUAGAACACCAAUUGCGAAAGGCAGCUGACUACAGGGAUAUU